rnacentral:lncRNA from 7 species
GGUGUCAUAUCUAUGAAGACUUCAGAAAAGAAAUACAUGAGCAAAGUUACUACAAUUCAUGUGGGUAGGAGAGAGAAGUGAUUUGCAGCGGAUUACACUGAAAACACUCCAGGUCUCAUUGAGCUCUGAGGUCACAGUUAUUUACCUGAUAAGCAGGAAAAUGGAAGCAGCCAUUCUCUAGAAGGUUUGGGGGCCAUGGAGAAUAUUUAUCUUUGAAAACCAGAAUUAAAUUUCAAAGUCCUGGAGAAGCUGAGCAACUAAGGAAAAUCUUUACAUGACUGUUUAAGGCAAUGCAUUGCUCACUAUGCUGACUGUGUUAAACUCCACAUUGUUGUGAUUAAACCCCUUUUGGUGUUACGUGAGGAGCUCAGGCAUCCGGCCUGUAAAGCCAAUUCUUCUCUGAGAAUAUGUCUUGCAGAGUCUGCAUGAUUAGAACUAUGUGUUUUCAUGUGUCUAUGUGACAUGUGUAGUAGAUUCUGUGUAUUCAGUCAUCUUUCUCACUCUGUAGUUUCCCAAUUACUUCAGUUUAACUAGAAGUGUGAGACUGUUCAAGUCCUCAUGAUGAGGACCAAACAUAGCAUAUUUUCUUCAGUUUAGAUAAGAGAAUGAUUUGGCUAUGAGUUUCAGCAACUGUUCAGUGGUCUUAAUCCCUGUACUUUUUUUAUUAUUAGAAAUUAGGAUGGAAAGAAAGAGGAGUAAUUAAAUUCUUCCUAGCUUUGGGCUCCAUCAAAGAUAUGUUAAAAAUGCAGCUACAAAGACCAAGAUCUAACCAAAGUUUUUAAAGAUAGAAAACUAGUUAAACAAAAUGGAUAAAUACUUCCAACUUUUCCUAAUAGAUAAAGCACACACAAGAAGUCUUUUGAAUUAAUUCAGAAAUGUUUUACAUAAAAAAAUGAAACAUAAUACAAAGAUCUAAGAAUACGUUACUGGGCUUAUCUAUGUAAAUUGCUUAACAUCCUUCCUCUCACAUAGAAAUCUUAAAAAAUAAAAAAAAUAUAAAAAAAUAAUAGAAC